CAGACAGUUGAAAUGCCUGGAGGAUCUCAGAGGGAAACACUGCUUUAACAAGAAUUCAAUAAGGCAUGCAGUGUGUUGCAGCUCCAUUUGCUUUGAUGGCAGAUAGCUUGGCACCCAUGGCUUCCAAGCUUUCUGCAGCUCCGGUCUGCUGAUGCAAAUCGUCCUCCAAAGCACUGGAGUCCUGUCUUUAGACCCUUCACUGGGUAGCACGUGACAAUCCCAAGCUGCCUUUAGCUUUGUCUCUGAGCUCUGCAGAGUCAACCACCACCACAGAGUGUCAGAUGUCAUAAAGGGAAGCACUAAGAUUAUCACAGAUGACUCUGAUCCCUCCACACCACUGCCUUUAGAAAAUGCCACGUACUGACCCUGCGAUAGAAGAUAGCUCUUCUACCUUUCUAAUGAAAUGUAAUCUUUUCGUUUCUCUGAGACAUGUACUCACAAGACACAUCUGAAGGCAGGUAUGAAAACCUUCUGAUGGGAAUUCCAACUGCAGUGACCUUGGGGCAAUGUUUUAUCUUACUGUGACAGUCCCUGCUGAGAAAGAUUGACUUUUUGGCAUAAAACAGCAUGCUGGGUUUUGGAUGUUCAGGCCAUAUUUCAGCCUGGCCUCCGUUUUGCCUGCAAAUAACUGUUCUCGUGCAAGAUACUGACAUUAAAAACUGGUUGUAAGGGCUGGAAACUUAGCACAGAAAUGCAAAUUCUGACCUUGCUUGAGUAGAUAGCAAGACUCCUGUUAAUUACAAUAUUUCUUUUCUGUAUAUCUCGGGGGGUUCACAACACCACUGGUUCAGAAAACAGAGUAUUUAUCAAUCUUUCUUCUAAGUAUUGACCACACUGAAUAGUGCAGCAGCACUUAGAACCUAGUUUCCCCACAGACUUGUGCAGGUAAUCUUCCAUGCAAUAUAAAAACAGCAAGCAUUUUCAUGAUGAUCUACCAGUGGUUAUUUACUUGGUCUGUUAUUUUGUAAUUCAAGAAUCAAGUUUUACUCUAUUAUUUUUCUUUUAACUCUACCAGACCAGUUAGGAGAAUGAGCUAGAUCUUGUUCUCUUUUGCAUACUAGCAAAAGAGAUAGUUCCUGAUAGCUACUGAACAAGCAAGUUAAGAGUUUGGCUUGUAAGAUAGUUGUCAUUUGUUUCAAUAGGCAAGAGUGGGAAUGUCCCCUCUUCCUUUACAUUGUUGAAGCUGUAGAAGAAAAGUGUAUUUUAAUAUAUGGAAGCUAAAUUACUGCUAAAUUCAGUCCAAUGGGCAGUGUAGAGCUAACAGUGUACUGUAUAAAGGAAAGCUAACAGCCUCUCCUGUUUUAAUGUGUACAUCUAGGUACGUCUGUAAUGAUCCCUGAGUCAAAGGCAUUGUGCACAAUGUACAUAGGUACUGAGUUGGCCCGCUACGCUCAAAAGUUUUAAGACCGGUUUGUCCAUGUGGAUUCUUGUUUUGAUUUCAGCUUUCCUUAUUCACUUAAGUAAUGUCAGAUGGAUGAAGGUAUUGGCGUGAUUAUACUGAAAUAUUUUUCAGUGUAAAAGAAACCAAAGAAUUGAUGCAUUUUAGAAAGACCAGGAUGAAAAAUUGGUUGAAACCAGUUUUGCUGUAAUGCUCUUCGGAGACCCACUACAUGUCUUCAUAGCCCUCAGCUGAUUCCCUCUAUCCUCUCCCAUGCAGGGUCCAUGACAGCUUCUGCAAGGUUGUAGUGCCUUUCUUUUCAUAGAUCUGCACUGAAAUGAGUUUUCCACUUUGCUGUGUCACUUUGUAGAGAUGCAGUCAAACAGCUUGUAUGAUUUUUACUUGGCAAGUCCCAUUGAAUAGUGGCAAUGCUGCUCAGUUAUGACAAAAGGACAAAGGUUUUUGCUUUUGCCCUACGAUGCCAAUAUAGCGCUGUCCUCCAGAUACCAUGAAAUGUACGCAUAUCCUACGGCAGUUAUUGGAGUUAGUUACUCCUUGGCUUGUGAUUAUCACAAACAGCAAAGUUACUGUUGACUACCUGUUCGUCAGGUUGCACACUGCAAAAUGGGCUACUAGGGCACCUGUUGAAAAGCCUUCACCAUAGCACUUGCUCUUUCUGUGAUCCAUCAGAGCCCAAAUCUGAUUUUCAGAUUCUAUCAAAGACAUGUCUGGCUGCUCAGAUGUUUAGGCCUGAGACACAUUUCACCUGAAGAGAGGGAGGCAGGAAUUUUUUGGCCUAUCCUGCUUUAAAACCUUGGUUUUGAUUGUGGCUGUCUUCAGGAACAGAACUGCUGACCACUGUAAACAAGUAUGUUUGUUUUUAAAAGUGUCCAUAAUUGCAGCAUUGCGUCAUCUCCACGGUUAUUUUAA